UUACGGUCAUAUCACGCUGAAACUCUGGUUCUCCUAUGAUCACCGAAGUUAAGCAACGUCGAGCCUUGUCAGUACCUAGAUGAGUAACCACGUGGGAAUACCAGGUGCUGGAAG